UGUAAGUACACAACUCAACAACAUAUAUAACAUAGGUCUAGUUGUUUUUAGACAUUUUAAUGUGAAUAGUUACACAUUCUAGCUUUAACACUGUUGGUUAAGGAAAGAUCAGGGUUCGGUUUAAAACACUAAGCUUUUUGCCAGUUGAUUAUCUAGCGACACACACCAACCCGCCACCUUCUAAUCAGGCAAAAUCACCUUAUAAAAUGAAAGAAAAUCACAUUAUAUGACGUCACUUCUCUGGGAAGGAUUGGUAUUUCACCUGCACGCAAUAAAGUUAUUUGUACACAGAUUGAAGAGAAGAAGCUGCAUAAUUAGCAAUUAGACAGAACAUACUGACGAUUGAAGUAGUACUGCUGAUAAAAAUAUCUAGUUUGUCCUGACAGUCCAGGUAGAGGAAAGGUCACGGGGUCAUGAAAUGAAAAAGGUUCAUCCUCUGACAAACCAGAACACACAUACAGUAAAAACCAGCUUAUUGGUCCCUCAAAAGUCUCAGGUUUACUCCACAUCCUUUGGGUUUAUAUAAUUUGAUUAAUCUCAAAUAAAUUAUAAAUUAGCUGCAGUGAUCUGAGCUCUGACUGGUUAAUAGUUUUAGUUUAUAUUGAGCUCAUUUGUUGUAAAGUUGUUGUUUUAUCAAACUGCACACAGAGAACUGAGGGACAGUUCGUAUUAUUCCAUCACAGGAGUACUGUAACCGCGACCUGCUGUUAUUUAAUAAUCCAUCGACUGUUCAGUGUAUAAAAUGUGGAUCAUUAUUCCCCGAAGCCCAGUGAACAUAUUCAGAUGACUUGUUUUGUCUGAACAACAGUCGGAAACACACAGAUGUUGAGUUUACUAUCAUGGAAAACUGGAAAGAAGCUUCUACCAGAAAGUUUUUUGGCAUUUUUCGCUUUAAAAAAUGACUAAAACAAGUACUAUCAUAUAUAGUUGGGGUCAACAGGGACCCCGGGGCCUCGUAGGAGGUUAACGGCUGCUGAGAUAUUUAUCUCUGACUAAAAUAUUAGCUGAAUGUGAAAGUCAGAAGAUGAAAUGAGAGAAAGUGUGGGUUUUACGGAAUACUCCUUUAUAACUGUGAUAGAAAUUAAACACAGCUGUCCGUCUUCUUCCUCGUCUCUUCGGUGGUUGGUUUUCUCUCGGCCGUGUGGGCCGGAGCUCUUACACAACCCCAUCGCGACACGAGAAGAGCAACCAAAGUCUAGAAACACACAAAACGCUCGGAGCUGGAAACUGGAAGAUAUAUUCAGCUGCAGCCAGAGGCCAUACGACACACAUGGAGAUGAUAGUAGGAGCUGUCAGAUUGGUAUGCAUGGACGGAGUGUGGGAGGAGAAAUAAAUUCAUAUUUCACAGCCUGCAGCAGCAGCAGCAGCAGCAGCAGAGAGCAGGGACGAGCCUUUGAUCAGCGAGGAUGUUGAAAAUUCAGCUGAAGUUGUGUUCACAGGCGGGCCGGUUACGUAACAGCAGGAGAGCCGGACCACGCCUGUCCAUCACACACUGUCAGACUCUUCUUCUUCUUCUUCUCUUCUUUUGGAAGUUGCUAUCUUUAACUCCUGCAGGUCAGUGAAGCAGCUCAGCUCAGUGUCAACAACAACAACCUCCACUUGGGCAGGAAGUGAACGGGUCACCUGACAAACAAAAGAAGGUGAUAAAGGUCGAAACACCGAGCGGCCGCCGCUCUUUGAUGUGUGCCUGACACGAUGCAGAUACAAAGAAAAAAAAAGAAAAGAAAAAAAAAGACAUGAAGUGAAACAAGCUGCAGGGUAAACACUCGCUUCAUCUCACUAUGUGUGUGUUUACUGUGUCAGAGUCUCUGAAACGAUCAGAGCCGGGCCGUCUGAUUGGCUGUGACCUGCGGCGGGAUUAGAAACACGUCUCCGCUUCCGCUGCGCUGCAGAUAAAAACGCUGCUGACGAGGCAGAAGAGAAACACGGAGAGAUGCUGCUUAUACACGGCAGCUUCACACUGAGUGCAUGUGUGCAGGACACUUUUCACAUGUGGAUGCGUGUACAGUGUGUGUGUGU